rnacentral:rRNA from 1 species
GGAUUGAAAUGGGGGCACCCUGAUCCAGCCAUNCCGCGUGAGUGAAGAAGGCCUUCGGGUUGUAAAGCUCUUUCGGUGGGAACGAAACGGUGGAGGCUAAUACCAUCCACUACUGACGGUACUCACAGAAGAAGCACCGGCUAACUACGUGCCAGCAGCCGCGGUAAUACGUAGGGUGCGAGCGUUAAUCGGAAUUACUGGGCGUAAAGCGUGCGCAGGCGGCGCGUUAAGACAGGUGUGAAAGCCCCGAGCUUAACUUGGGAAUUGCGCUUGUGACUGGCGUGCUGGAGUGUGGCAGAGGGAGGUGGAAUUCCACGUGUAGCAGUGAAAUGCGUAGAGAUGUGGAGGAACACCGAUGGCGAAGGCAGCCUCCUGGGCCAGCACUGACGCUCAUGCACGAAAGCGUGGGGAGCAAACAGGAUUAGAUACCCUGGUAGUCCACGCCGUAAACGAUGAGUGCUAGGUGUCACGGGUAUUGACCCCUGUGGUGCCGCAGCUAACGCAUUAAGCACUCCGCCUGGGAAGUACGGCCGCAAGGCUAAAACUCAAAAGAAUUGACGGA